ACCCCAUCCCCCAUUUUUCGAUUUCACGCAAACAGUGACCCCAACCUCUCUGUCGUCGCAACCCCCACCUCCUUACCCGAAGACCCCCCCCUCGAUUUUUAGCUAUCUUUUGCAGUUGGAUCCUUAGAGCGUCGUACGUCUUCCAUCGAGCUUGUCGUCGAGCCCACCUCACUCGCCGAGACCCUCAUGUGCCCAGCUGCACGUCGUGCCGUUUGUCCCAGCCCGAGAGUCGAGUCGUCGCCUUGUCGGUUCGCUAGCAGCCUCACGCCUUACACCUUCCGUCGAAGCCAACGACACUCGCCUAAAGCCGCCGUCUGUCGGGCUGUCUUCCAGUCGUCCACCACGCCUAACAAAAUUUCCCGCCGACGAAGACAAAUCUGAAACACCAUCUCCAGCCGCACGCCGCCCCUCUCGUUCCGCCGUUGUCGUUCGCCGUUCGUUCACCCCUUCGCCGUGCCUCUGCCGUCAGUUGAGUGUUUUGGGCUAGGUUGAAGUUUUGAGAGAUUUCUGAGGCGCUGUCCAGCAUCGUGGAAGGGAAAUUUUGAUGAUUUUUAGGACCGUUACCUUGAGUUGCUGUAUUAUUUUGGUUGCCUGAUUAGUUGUGGAUUUUGACAUCGAAGUAAUGGUAGAGAUGCACUGGCGAUUAACAAGCGGAAUCCGUGAUCGAGCCACUAUGACCCGUUCUAUGCUUCCACUCAUGAUAUUUAGAUUCAUUUUCAUGUUUUUCAACUUUCAGUUUUGAUGUUUGAAACUUACUACUAAAAUUUGUUUUCAGACCUAUUUAUUAUCAUUUAUGAUUUAUGGGUA